rnacentral:lncRNA from 1 species
CGCCCCUUUCUGACGACAUAUGCCCGGUCUCCUAGGCCCCCACGGGUGCCCGGGAGAAGCUCACUUAGUGCCCCAUGAAGGCCAGCACCGGGGGUGGUGGAGAGCUUGACACCAUGCCUCCCCCUAUAGAGCAUAUCUGGCUUACAUGAAACAUUUGGGAGGAAACAUCAAAAUAGCCGAGGAGACUAAUUGUCCAUAACUAAUUCACAGAAAAUCCAAAUGACAUACCGUCAAGUGCGUUGAACUCUUUUCGACGUUCCGGAUAUUUCUCGUGUUUUGAGUUUUUCCAAAUUCCAAGCCGAAGUACCUCGAACCCGAACUUCCACUUAAUUACGACAAUGCCACUCGUCCUCACUUUAGCUUCAAGCUCGCCCUUGGGCUUUCAAGGCUCGCACCCGCUCGGCAUUUCCCUCACAAAGUGUCACGAUAGCACUACUCUUAAGUGCGGAUCG